CAGUUUUUUCAGACAAGCUGGAAAUACCACCAUUAAUCACUGAAGAUACUCCCGCUGAUUUUGAAGAACUUACGGUGAUUGUUUUUGAAAGUGAGGCGCUUUGCCACAACAUGUUGCAAAGACUUGAAACAAAUACAAAAAAUAUGUGCGAAACAAAAGAAAUUCUAAAGGAAACGAGUGAACAAAUCUCCAAUAUGAAAACGUCAUCAAAUGUGACAAAUCAAAAAGAAAACAGUAAUAGAAGAUAUGCCGCCAAGACCACAGGAACUGCUAUUGUCCCAGAUAGGUGGUAAUGGGAAAAAGAACAAUGUGGAGCGUAUAUUAAAAAAAAAAAAAUUCAGCGAAUUUGCUGUAGCUUGUUUGUUCGGUAGGAAAAUUCCAAAAUGGUUGGGACAAAAACAAUGAAUAUUAUGAAAGAAAUUACAAUGAAGACCCAUUCCGCAAUAGAAAAAGAAGUAGAACAACGCU